AUACCGCGGGACGAUUUAUUUU
rnacentral:snRNA from 1 species